rnacentral:lncRNA from 1 species
CUUAAGUCAAGAACCAAAUGAAGCACCAGAGUACAGAUUAUGGAGGUAUCUGAAGUUGAACUAACUGGAAGCAGGGAACCAUACUAAUAAAGUUCCUUAAGGUUCCUUGUAAAGAUUAACCCAGGGAAGGAUCGAAAGUGGAGAAGACCAGAUCAAGAAAGACUACAUCAAGAUCUGCGGUCAGUUCAAAGGAUGUUUUGCAUUGGACUGUUUUUUUUGGCUUUGACCCUUGCUUGCCCCUGACCUCACUCUUGGACUGCCCUGUUGGAUUUUCAGUUUAUU